AGAAAGUUCAUUUGACUUGCUUUACUGUGGCAUCUGUUGUGUCAUGGUGGUCUGAGCUAGACCCCGGGUGUCACUGAGGACCUACAUGGCAUCCGGGAAAGAGCAAGCACCAGUGAACAUUUGUCACCUGAAUGCACAGUCACGUUGCCUGUACUUCCUCUUCCGUGUGGCCUCACACGGGUUCCUUACUCAAGGCUCAGAAUCCGCACCUGGGAAAUGCGGCCGGCAAACACCUGACGGAGCUUCGGUGGCGACGAAUCCAGCAGGAAGAAUGAAGGCAGAGGGCUUGCAGGCAACACCAAGAGCGAUGGCCCUGUUUGUGUGCCACGUGACUCUCCCGCAGACCAGCAUGCUGAGGCAAGAGCGGGCAGGUUGCCCGACUUGCAUCUGGGUCUUUCCCCGCCGAGGGCCAGUGGUCUGACUUCCCACGGGAGCCCAGAGCCAGGCUGUCAGGCCUCUGGCAAGUCCAGGCACAAGACACGCUGACAGCAAAGCCACAGCUCCUGAAGUCGGCCACGUCGUGUUUCCGGCUCUGCCGCCAUCCCCAAGAGCAGGGCCCUCGCUCACCCUCCGUUCAUCUGUCCCCCCAACUAGUGCUUGACCCACGGCACCUGUGCCCCACGCCCGCCGCCACACAAACCCCACGUCCACCGGCAACUAGAGAGCCGUGAGCCACCUCCCCACAUCCCCGCGUUUCACCGCUUGGAGAGUCGGCAACCAGGGGCCAGACAGGAGCAUGUUGAUGGGGGGCAGGACUUCUCCUCGGGUGUUAGCAUAUUCUGUGCAGGUGGGACAGCCCCCAGGGCCCCAGGGCCCCUUCUCCAAGCCUGCCCCCUGCUUACCUCAGGUCGCCUCCGUUCAUGAUAGUUAUCACCAGACAGAGGUCGGUUUUGGUUUCAAAUGCAUAUGCCAGCGAGACUAUAAACCUGCUGUGUACCUUU